UAAGACGAAGGGGGCAAGCGUUGUUCGGAAUUACUGGGCGUAAAGGGCGCGUAGGCGGCCUGAUAAGUCAGACGUGAAAGGCCUGGGCUCAACCUGGGAAUUGCGUUUGGGACUGUUGGGCUUGAGAGCGGGAGAGGAUGGUGGAAUUCCCAGUGUAGAGGUGAAAUUCGUAGAUAUUGGGAAGAACACCGGUGGCGAAGGCGGCCAUCUGGACCGUAUCUGACGCUGAGGCGCGAAAGCGUGGGGAGCAAACAGGAUUAGAUACCCUGGUAGUCCACGCUGUAAACGAUGAGUGCUGGACGUUGGUGGGCUUGCCUGCCGGUGUCGCAGCUAACGCGUUAAGCACUCCGCCUGGGGAGUACGGCCGCAAGGUUG
rnacentral:rRNA from 1 species